AUCCCUACGGGACGCAGCAGUGAGGAAUAUUGGUCAAUGGGCGGGAGCCUGAACCAGCCAAGUCGCGUGAAGGAAGAAGGUACUUAGUAUUGUAAACUUCUUUUGUCGGGGAACAAAGGCGGAGGCGCGUCUCCGGAUGAGUGUACCCGAAGAAAAAGCAUCGGCUAACUCCGUGCCAGCAGCCGCGGUAAUACGGAGGAUGCGAGCGUUAUCCGGCUUUAUUGGGUUUAAAGGGUGCGCAGGCGGGAGCUCAAGUCAGCGGUAAAAUGUCGGGGCUCAACCCCCGCCGGCCGUUGAAACUGGGU
rnacentral:rRNA from 1 species